rnacentral:tRNA from 1 species
CCCUGGUGGUGGAAUUGGUAGACACAAGGGAUUUAAAAUCCCUCGGCGUUCGCGCUGUGCCGGUUCAAGUCCGGCCCGGGGCA